rnacentral:rRNA from 1 species
GAUGAACGCUGGCGGCGUGCCUAAUACAUGCAAGUCGAGCGGACCAAAGAGAGCUUGCUCUCUGAGGUUAGCGGCGGACGGGUGAGUAACACGUGGGUAACCUGCCUGUAAGACGGGGAUAACUUCGGGAAACCGAAGCUAAUACCGGAUGAUAAAGCGAAACGCCUGUUUCUUUUUUGAAAGUCGGCCUUGUGCUGACGCUUACAGAUGGGCCCGCGGCGCAUUAGCUAGUUGGUGAGGUAACGGCUCACCAAGGCGACGAUGCGUAGCCGACCUGAGAGGGUGAUCGGCCACACUGGGACGGAGACACGGCCCAGACUCCUACGGGAGGCAGCAGUAGGGAAUCUUCGGCAAUGGACGAAAGUCUGACCGAGCAACGCCGCGUGAGCGAUGAAGGCCUUCGGGUCGUAAAGCUCUGUUGUCAGAGAAGAACAAGUACCGGAGUAACUGCCGGUACCUUGACGGUACCUGACCAGAAAGCCACGGCUAACUACGUGCCAGCCGCCGCCGUAA